UACAGAGGGGGCAAGCGUUAUUCGGAAUUAUUGGGCGUAAAGGGCGCGUAGGCGGCCUGGCAAGUGGAUGGUGAAAUCCCUCGGCUUAACCGAGGAACUGCCAUCCAGACUGCUUGGCUUGAGACCGGGAGAGGUGAGUGGAAUUCCCAGUGUAGCGGUGAAAUGCGCAGAUAUCAGGAGGAACACCAAUUGCGAAGGCAGCUCGCUGGGACGUUACUGACGCUCAUGCACGACAGCGUGGGGAUCAAACAGG
rnacentral:rRNA from 1 species